UUACGGUUGGGAUGAUGGAGUAAACCCCACCCCCUAUAAUACGUCAUUAGCUGAAAGCUGUGCAGCGUUCAGCCAGGUCCUGGAAAGCAGAGCAUCUUAAGCGACAACGUUAGAAGCAUCUGAGUGAUAUUUGAUUCCCGAUCGCUGCUGCAACACUAAUAUCAUGCCAAACGCAAACGAAACCGGAAACCUCCUGACAACCUACUUGAUCCUUAUUGCUCUAUUGAUAGCACUUUGGGUGCUUUAUGCCGGACUUUUGCAGUAAAAUCUGGCCAUUCAACUAUUGUCAAACGGACCACUAGCCUAAUUAUGGAACAGCCGUUUAAGCAGUCAUUUGUAUUUUUAUAAGUAUUAAGACAGUACAAUAAGAAAAUGUAAAUAAAGUUUUGUUUUUA